AAAUUAGACCAGGGUUCAUAUUUCAGUCAGCAGAUGCCACAGCCAGGACUGUUGACUGUGCACUGCUCUCUGCUUUAUGUCAGUCUACGUAGGUGGCUAGAGAUCGGAAAGGGCUUCCAUGCAGUUGAACUUUUUUUCUUCUCUUUAUUCACUUGUUUCCUGAAUUCUGUUUUCUUUUUUAUUUCCUUUGUGGUAUCAAGGAAUGAAUCCAGGGUCUUAUGUAUAUACAAUACUACUCUGAUAAAUCCCUGGCCUAAUUUUUAUUCUAUAUUUGGGGGCGGUGGGCGGGGGGGGUAGAGAGAGAGAAAAGGAGAAGAAAGAGGAGAAACCAGAGCACUGUUCACCAUCGUGGAGUUCCAACGGUGCUGUCCAUAGUCCCUUUGAAUGAUCGUUUGAGUGUCCUCUGGAUAAAUGCCUAAGAGGGGGUAUUGCUAUAUCAUAAGGUAAUUCUAUUUCUUUUUUUUAAUAUUUCUUUCUUUAUUUAUUUCCUUUUGUUGCCCUUGUUGUUUUUUAUUGUUGUAGUUAUUGUUGCUAUUGUUGUUGUUGUUGGAUAGGACAGAGAGAAAUGGAGAGAGGAGGGGAAGACAGAGAGGGGGAGAGAAAGACAGACACCUGCAGACCUGCUUCACCGCCUUUGAAGCGACUCCCCUGCAGGUGGGGAGCCGGGGGCUGGAACCGGGAACCUUCCACGCCACAUGCAUUGAACCUGCUGCGCUACUGGCCGACUCCCGUCACCAGGUUCCAGGUGUCAUCAGGAUACCGGCCAGACUUCCCUGGAUUGAAGACCCCACCAAUGUGUCCUGGAGCUCAGCUUCCCCAGAGACACACCCUACUAGGGAAAGAGAGAGGCAGACUGAGAGUAUGGACCGACCAGUCAACGCCCAUGUUCAGCGGGGAAGCAAUUACAGAAGCCAGACCUUCUACCUUCUGCAACCUACAAUGACCCUGGGUCCAUGCUCCCAGAGGGAUAGAGAAUGGGAAAGCUACUGGGGAGGGGGUGGUAUAUGGAGACUGGGCGGUGGGAAUUGUGUGGAGUUGUACCCCUCCUACCCUAUGGUUUUGUUAAUUAAUCCUUUCUAAAAUAAAAAAAAAUAGUACAAUAAAAAAAGAACACUAUGACAUAUUUCUCCACUUAAUUAAAUUUUUUUUUUAAUUUUCAAAAAAAAAUACCCAUCAGAAGAUAACUGAAUAAAGAAGUUAUGGGGUAUAUAGUCAAUGAAAUACUACUCUGAAGUUUAAAAAGAUGAUAUUGUGCCUUUUGAAAUAAAAUGGAUGGAACUUGA